GCCCAGGAUUAGCUCAGUUGGUCAGAGCACAGUUUUAAUAAUGCCAAGGUUGUGGGUUUGAUUCCUUUAUGGGCC